CCAGACUCCAAAUAUACAACCCUCCAUCACCGCACAACUUCACCAUAGCCACCCAACAAUCGCGACGCCCGGACAUUAUGCUGCUAGCGUCGUCGGUCGUAGCCCGAAAAGAGGAAGAGGGCUUUCCUUCGCGGAGUGGACUGCCGGUUCCUUAUUUCAAGCCAAAGGUAAUAAUGUCAAUUUCAUCCCUCACCACUUCAAUUUUGGUCAUUAUUCACAAACCCUAGCAAUAGGCAAACGUGAGGCUCGACAAUGAAAACUUGAGCUGCGACGAGGACGAAGGCUUAUGCACUGGCGACGAAGAAGGAGCAGCAGCGACCACCAUCGGAGAGAGCAGUUUCGACCAGGAAAGCGGCGAUUGCGACGAAGGGCUUGAGCAGCGGCAACGUCGACCAGCUUAGCGGCGUGAGCAGACCGGUGGCGACCUCUAGCGGCUACGAACAGCGUUGGCGGUGAGCAGAGGUGCGACAUCUCCGACGGCGUUCGCGUUCCCAGGUACGACCCUUUUCUGCCUGUACAUAGGGAAGGUAUUCUGGAUGCCUGAGAAGAUAUCUCACCAUCCGUGCUAUUUGAACAAUUAUAUCGCUUGUGAGUCCUCAUGAAUGAAAUUGUGCUUGUUCUUUUCUGAAAAUUUUCUUUUAUUUUCUUCCCUUGCCUGUUAAUCUCUGUUAUCAUUCAUGACUCUUUAAAGAUUCCAUAUCAUAAUUUUUGUAGAAUAAAGCAUUUAUUGAAUUUGACUAUGUAAAGCAGGCCUUUUGAUAUCCAGGGGAGAAUGAUUGGACUAUUGUUUGAAAUAGUACACUGUUGGGUUUUUUUUUUUUUUUGUUGAUGUUAUUGAACUCUUAUCUUAUAUACAUCCAUUUGAAUCUGAACGUUUGUCAAUGUUCUUGUUCUCAGUCUUUAAUAAACUUUUAUAUAACGUAGUGGAAGUUCUUGCGAUUGUACUAAGAUUGUUAAAUGCUACAACAUAGAGACAAUGCAACCACUCUUGGGGAUAAUAGAAUAGGGAUAAAAACAAUUGUUCUUGAGGAAAAAGCUACAACUAUAAUAUGCUAUGUUGUUAUGCUGAUGAGUUGAAGGAAGGCUUUAACCCAUGGAUUGAUCAGGUUGCUCCAACGAUAGUUCCACUUUUGAAGUUUUACUUCCAAGAAGUCAAGAAGGCUGCUGUUUCAGAGCCAACAUAAUGAGCUAGAGGUCAAGCUUUUUGUGGAGAGAGCAGCACUUGAAGCUAAAUACCAUAAGUUGUUUGGAUAAUACAAUGAGUAACAAUAGCAAAAAUUUUGGAAGGGAAACACAGUUUAUAUAUAGAUAAUUUUUGAUGAACUUGUAUUAUUAAUUAGUAUCAAUUGUGAGAUUUAUUGCUUUUAUUAAUUUUGAUAUUAUAAAUAUAAAUUGUACAGGUUUUGAAUGU